rnacentral:ncRNA from 1 species
GUGUGUAUGAAAGGAGAGAAGGCUAGCACUCCGCUUGACAAGGAUGAAAGAGGCCCUGACAUGCAUACGGUUAAGGCAUUGCAACACACUUUAUGGCAUCUAACCAUCUUUUUUU